GACGAACGCUGGCGGCGUGCCUAAUACAUGCAAGUAGAACGCUGAAGGAGGAGCUUGCUUCUCUGGAUGAGUUGCGAACGGGUGAGUAACGCGUAGGUAACCUGCCUGGUAGCGGGGGAUAACUAUUGGAAACGAUAGCUAAUACCGCAUAAGAGUAGAUGUUGCAUGACAUUUACUUAAAAGGUGCAAUUGCAUCACUACCAGAUGGACCUGCGUUGUAUUAGCUAGUUGGUGAGGUAACGGCUCACCAAGGCAACGAUACAUAGCCGACCGGAGAGGGUGAUCGGCCACACUGGGACUGAGACACGGCCCAGACUCCUACAGGAGGCAGCAGUAGGGAAUCUUCGGCAAUGGACGGAAGUCUGACCGAGCAACGCCGCGUGAGUGAAGAAGGUUUUCGGAUCGUAAAGCUCUGUUGUAAGGGAAGAACGAGUGUGAAAGUGGAAAGUUCACACUGUGGCGGUAUCUUACCAGAAAGGGACGGCUAACUACGUG
rnacentral:rRNA from 1 species